AAUAUUGCACAAUGGGGGAAACCCUGAUGCAGCAACGCCGCGUGAAGGAUGAAGGCCUUCGGGUUGUAAACUUCUUUGAUGAGGGACGAACCAUGACGGUACCUCAAAAACAAGCCACGGCUAACUACGUGCCAGCAGCCGCGGUAAUACGUAGGUGGCGAGCGUUGUCCGGAAUUACUGGGUGUAAAGGGCGUGUAGGCGGGGAUGUAAGUCAGAUGUGAAAUUCCGUGGCUCAACCACGGGCGUGCAUCUGAAACUAUGUUUCUUGAGUGCUGGAGAGGAAAGCGGAAUUCCUAGUGUAGCGGUGAAAUGCGUAGAUAUUAGGAGGAACACCAGUGGCGAAGGCGGCUUUCUGGACAGUAACUGACGCUGAGGCGCGAAAGCGUGGGGAGCAAACAGG
rnacentral:rRNA from 1 species